CAAUAGCGUAUAUUUAAGUUGCUGCAGUUAAAAAGCUCGUAGUUGGAUUUCGGGUGGGAAUGGCCGGUCCGCCGUUUCGGUGUGCACUUGCUACGCCCACCUUGCUGCCGGGGACGUGCUCUUGAGUUCACGCUCGGGACACGGAGUCGGCGAGGUUACUUUGAGUAAAUUAGAGUGUUCAAAGCAGGCCUACGCUCUGAAUACAUUAGCAUGGAAUAACACGAUAGGACUCUGGCCUAUCUUGUUGGUCUGUAGGACCGGAGUAAUGAUUAAGAGGGACAGUCGGUGGCACUCGUAUUUCAUUGUCAGAGGUGAAAUUCUUGGAUUUAUGAAAGACGAACUACUGCGAAAGCAUUUGCCAAGGAUGUUUUCAUUAA
rnacentral:rRNA from 1 species